rnacentral:lncRNA from 1 species
CUUAAUAGUCGGUCGCGACUGUUGUCAUAGUCAACGACGGUUGAAACUUCCAGGAGCAGUUGCUUCGCUGAUGGGCCCUGUGAGGGGGGCAUUGUCCCUCAGUUCUUACCAACCUCAGGAUGAAAUCUACGCCUAGCGAGGCAGCUGUCCUUGUCCUCGGCACGGGUCAUUCCAUUGAUACGCUCAUCUGUGGAUGCAAGCCUUGGUACCCCCAAAAUUUGUAUGCAAGAUGAGCUUCCAUACUAGGAAGAAUGGAAGGAAAUCCUUCGAUAACACUUCUUUCUUAUUUGAAGAAAUGAUAUCCGACACGCGCGCUACAAAAGGCAGCUAGCCAAUGAAAGUAAGUGGAAAGAAUAUAGUACUUUUGUACUGACCCC